ACGGAGGGGGCUAGCGUUGUUCGGAAUCACUGGGCGUAAAGCGUGCGUAGGCGGCCAUUCAAGUCAGAGGUGAAAGCCCAGGGCUCAACCCUGGAACUGCCUUUGAAACUAGAUGGCUGGAACACGGGAGAGGUGAGUGGAAUUCCGAGUGUAGAGGUGAAAUUCGUAGAUAUUCGGAAGAACACCAGUGGCGAAGGCGGCUCACUGGACCGUUGUUGACGCUGAGGCACGAAAGCGUGGGGAGCAAACAGGAUUAGAUACCCUGGUAGUCCACGCCGUAAACGAUGAUAACUAGCUGUUGGGGCUCUUUGAGCUCCAGUGGCGCAGCUAACGCAUUAAGUUAUCCGCCUGGGGAGUACGGCCGCAAGGUUA
rnacentral:rRNA from 1 species